rnacentral:rRNA from 1 species
UGAGGAAUGUUGGUCAAUGGGCGGAAGCCUGAACCAGCCAUGCCGCGUGCAGGAAGGAGGCCCUACGGGUUGUAAACUGCUUUUACCCGGGAAGAAACCGCCCCCUGUGGGGGGCGUUGCCGGUACCGGGGGAAAAAGGAUCGGCUAACUCCGUGCCAGCAGCCGCGGUAAUACGGAGGAUCCGGGCGUUAUCCGGAAUUACUGGGUUUAAAGGGUGCGUAGGCGGGGCUUUAAGCCGGCGGUGAAAUGCAGUGGCUCAACCGCUGGAAUGCCGUUGGGACUGGGGCUCUUGGAUACGGUCGGGGCGGGUGGAACUCGUGGUGUAGCGGUGAAAUGCAUAGAUAUCACGAGGAACGCCGGUAGCGAAGGCAGCUCGCCGGGCCGGUAUUGACGCUGAGGCACGAAAGCGUGCGGAUCGAACAG